UCAAGUGAAGAAGCGCAUACGGUGGAUGCCUUGGCAGUCAGAGGCGAUGAAAGACGUGGUAGCCUGCGAAAAGCUUCGGGGAGUCGGCAAACAGACUUUGAUCCGGAGAUCUCUGAAUGGGGGAACCCACCUAGGAUAACCUAGGUAUCUUGUACUGAAUCCAUAGGUGCAAGAGGCGAACCAGGGGAACUGAAACAUCUAAGUACCCUGAGGAAAAGAAAUCAACCGAGAUUCCCUUAGUAGUGGCGAGCGAACGGGGAUUAGCCCUUAAGCUUCAUUGAUUUUAGCGGAACGCUCUGGAAAGUGCGGCCAUAGUGGGUGAUAGCCCCGUACGCGAAAGGAUCUUUGAAGUGAAAUCGAGUAGGACGGAGCACGAGAAACUUUGUCUGAACAUGGGGGGACCAUCCUCCAAGGCUAAAUACUACUGACUGACCGAUAGUGAACCAGUACCGUGAGGGAAAGGCGAAAAGAACCCCGGAGAGGGGAGUGAAAUAGAACCUGAAACCGUAUGCGUACAAGCAGUGGGAGCCUACUUGUUAGGUGACUGCGUACCUUUUGUAUAAUGGGUCAGCGACUUAUAUUCAGUGGCAAGCUUAACCGUAUAGGGUAGGCGUAGCGAAAGCGAGUCUUAAUAGGGCGUUUAGUCGCUGGGUAUAGACCCGAAACCGGGCGAUCUAUCCAUGAGCAGGUUGAAGGUUAGGUAACACUGACUGGAGGACCGAACCCACUCCCGUUGAAAAGGUAGGGGAUGACUUGUGGAUCGGAGUGAAAGGCUAAUCAAGCUCGGAGAUAGCUGGUUCUCCUCGAAAGCUAUUUAGGUAGCGCCUCAUGUAUCACUCUGGGGGGUAGAGCACUGUUUCGGCUAGGGGGUCAUCCCGACUUACCAAACCGAUGCAAACUCCGAAUACCCAGAAGUGCCGAGCAUGGGAGACACACGGCGGGUGCUAACGUCCGUCGUGAAAAGGGAAACAACCCAGACCGCCAGCUAAGGUCCCAAAGUUGUGGUUAAGUGGUAAACGAUGUGGGAAGGCUUAGACAGCUAGGAGGUUGGCUUAGAAGCAGCCAUCCUUUAAAGAAAGCGUAAUAGCUCACUAGUCGAGUCGGCCUGCGCGGAAGAUGUAACGGGGCUCAAACCACACACCGAAGCUGCGGGUGUCACGUAAGUGACGCGGUAGAGGAGCGUUCUGUAAGCCUGUGAAGGUGAGUUGAGAAGCUUGCUGGAGGUAUCAGAAGUGCGAAUGCUGACAUGAGUAACGACAAUGGGUGUGAAAAACACCCACGCCGAAAGACCAAGGGUUCCUGCGCAACGUUAAUCGACGCAGGGUUAGUCGGUUCCUAAGGCGAGGCUGAAAAGCGUAGUCGAUGGGAAACAGGUUAAUAUUCCUGUACUUCUGGUUACUGCGAUGGAGGGACGGAGAAGGCUAGGCCAGCUUGGCGUUGGUUGUCCAAGUUUAAGGUGGUAGGCUGAAAUCUUAGGUAAAUCCGGGGUUUCAAGGCCGAGAGCUGAUGACGAGUCGUCUUUUAGAUGACGAAGUGGUUGAUGCCAUGCUUCCAAGAAAAGCUUCUAAGCUUCAGGUAACCAGGAACCGUACCCCAAACCGACACAGGUGGUCGGGUAGAGAAUACCAAGGCGCUUGAGAGAACUCGGGUGAAGGAACUAGGCAAAAUGGCACCGUAACUUCGGGAGAAGGUGCGCCGGCUAGGGUGAAGGAUUUACUCCGUAAGCUCUGGCUGGUCGAAGAUACCAGGCCGCUGCGACUGUUUAUUAAAAACACAGCACUCUGCAAACACGAAAGUGGACGUAUAGGGUGUGACGCCUGCCCGGUGCCGGAAGGUUAAUUGAUGGGGUUAGCGCAAGCGAAGCUCUUGAUCGAAGCCCCGGUAAACGGCGGCCGUAACUAUAACGGUCCUAAGGUAGCGAAAUUCCUUGUCGGGUAAGUUCCGACCUGCACGAAUGGCG
rnacentral:rRNA from 1 species